rnacentral:rRNA from 1 species
AGUCGAGGGGUAUAGUUCUUCGGAUCUAGAGACCGGCGCACGGGUGCGUAACGCGUAUGCAAUCUACCUUUCACAGAGGGAUAGCCCAGAGAAAUUUGGAUUAAUACCUCAUAGUAUUAUGAAAUGGCAUCAUUUUAUAAUUAAAGUCACAACGGUGAAAGAUGAGCAUGCGUCCCAUUAGCUUGUUGGUAAGGUAACGGCUUACCAAGGCUACGAUGGGUAGGGGUCCUGAGAGGGAGAUCCCCCACACUGGUACUGAGACACGGACCAGACUCCUACGGGAGGCAGCAGUGAGGAAUAUUGGUCAAUGGACGCAAGUCUGAACCAGCCAUGCCGCGUGCAGGAUGACGGUCCUAUGGAUUGUAAACUGCUUUUGCACAGGAAGAAACAACGCUACGUGUAGUGUCUUGACGGUACUGUGAGAAUAAGGAUCGGCUAACUCCGUGCCAGCAGCCGCGGUAAUACGGAGGAUCCAAGCGUUAUCCGGAAUCAUUGGGUUUAAAGGGUCCGUAGGCGGUUUAGUAAGUCAGUGGUGAAAGCCCAUCGCUCAACGGUGGAACGGCCAUUGAUACUGCUAGACUUGAAUUAUAAGGAAGUAACUAGAAUAUGUAGUGUAGCGGUGAAAUGCUUAGAGAUUACAUGGAAUACCAAUUGCGAAGGCAGGUUACUACUUAUGGAU